ACAGAGCCCCGUCCUCCAUCAAGAGUAUAAAAGACGAUUCACCAUCUGCCAAACCGCCAUAAAACACCACCACAACAACAACAAGCACCCUACUGAACAGGAGCUAACAGAAGACUGCAAGAAUCACCUCAUAUACAAUCAAUUCUAUACCCAGGUCUCGUGCUUCCUCUUGAACCUUGUGGCAAUAAUCUGCAAUAAUCGCUGAUGUCUUGGUUUAAACUGUUGGUGCUAUAUGCUUUUUUCUGGGAGCUUGCAUGUGUUGAACACCAGGCCAGCACUGUAAAGACUGAGAUGGAUAAAUGCACCGGAGGGAAGGAAAUUGGCUUGAUGGAUGCUUUCAAAGAGUGGUUUCACAUUAUAUUGACUUGUAAGGAUGAUCCUUGUAAAAAAUACUACGAGGACCUGAUUGUGACUCCAAUCCUGCUCGCGCCUCCACAUGAGGCCUUGAAAAUGACCAUUACCAUGCUGAUUAACGACCCCCUGAAGCGCUUAGGAGAAUGCAUUAACAAGUUUCUAAGGGUUUUGUUUCUUGGCCAAACAGCUGAAAGUCAUGAUCAUCCACCUGACCAUGCUGCUUAAUUCUAUUGUGUAAUUAUUGUAAUUAAACCUUUUAUCAAAUAAAGGCAUAAAGUCUGUAAAAAUCCUUUGAUUAUUUUUAAGGGAAAUUAUGAAUUUCUGUAGUGCAUCAAAUCCUUUUCCCUCCCAGUUUAAUAGAAGCCAGCAAGUGAAUUGUACAAUAGAAAAGUCCAUUAGAACAGUUUUAUCCCAGUCAGUGCAGUCUAUGGGGAUAUAAGGCCAUAAAAUUAACUACAUGAUAUUGUUGCAUAAAAUCAUCUCUGUUUAUAACAUUUAUGGAUAUUAGUCACGCAGUAUGGAAGCAUAGAGGUCCUGUCCUGUCCAAGAGCAUGAAUAAUAAAACUGUCCUGUGGUCUGAUGAGACUAAAAUAAACUUGUUUGGCUCAGUAUCCAGAAUGUGUGGUUCCCUGGUGAGGAGAACCAAGAACAUUAUGGCUUGCCUACAGUUAAGCAUGCUGGUGGUGGUAUCAUGGUCUGGGGCUGCAAUUUUAAGACAUUGAAUUACGACAGCACACACACACCAUUCAUUUACAUUUAUGAAAUUUUAGAAGACCCUCCCAAAUCCAGAGCAACUUACAACUGAGCAUGGAACGGUUAAGGGCCUUGCUCAAGGGUGGGAUGGUGGGAUUUGAACUUGUGACCAUUUCAAACCAAAGUCCAGCACCUCAACCACUGUGCUACUAUACCUUCUUUCUUUUCAAAAUUAUUCAAAUAACUUUCUGAUCACUUGCUUUUCGAUUUAAAAUAAAGCUCAUCACAGUGACUGUAUCUGUCAGCCAAUGCUUAUUUUCUUUCUUUUUUCCCCUUCCUUGGUACACCUGCAUGUUGUCUUGGUUUAGUUGGCAAGUAUAUUUAAUACUCACAUAUAAUAAGUAGAAUAAGUUGAAAGUACAUAUCAAACCCAGUUUGGCAGAAGCACUGCAAACCUGGCAACUCAGGACUUGUAUUUAAGUAGAGGUGUAGCUGGAUAUUGACACUUCAUUUCUUAGAUGCAUGUGAUAACGCAACACAUACAAACCUGUUUAGUUAACACUGAGUUGCACUUUUUACACUUUUUUUUGUAGCUUUGUAUGUAUUUUUAAGUGCAUGUGAAAUCAUGAAGGUUCCAAAAAUAUUGUAUUUUUGGGUGUUUUGUGGUCUCCUUUACUUUGUUAAAGGAGAUACUUCCUCUGAAGAUGAUGAAAGCGAGAGAAAGCCGUCUGAGGCCAGCGAGGUUGACAUGAUGAAAGCUAAAUGCACCAGAGGAAAGGAAAUUGACUGGAUGGAUGCUUUCAAAGAGUGGUUUCACAUUAUAUUGACUUGUAAGGAUGAUCCUUGUAAAAAAUACUACGAGGACCUGUUCGUGAAUCCAAUCCUGCUCGCGCCUCCACAUGAGGCCUUGAAAAUGACCAUUACCAUGCUGAUUAACGACCCCCUGAAGCACUUAGGAGAAUGCAUUAACAAGUUUCUAAAGGUUUUGUUCCUUGGCCAAACAGCUGAAUGUCAUGAUCAUCCACCUGACCAUGCUGCUUAAUUCUAUUGUGUAAUUAUUGAAAUGAAACCUUUUAUCAAAUAAACAAAUCUAUUUUUUCUUA